rnacentral:lncRNA from 1 species
GUACUCUGGGGAUAAGAAGUGAAUAGAACAUAUUUAAGUUCUGGGGGACUCAAUCUGAAGAAGAAAGCAGAUACGGAAAUAAAACAGUGGAAUCACUUGCAGAGGAAACACAAGGAAAUGCUUAUAAUUUUUUCCUGGGGAGGUGAGGGAAGGCAUUUGGGGAAAGAAAAUGCCCGAUAUUAUCCUUGAAACAUGGAUUAGAACUGAACAGGGAAUCUAGUCCUAGAAGUCCCAAGACAGAGACAACAGCAAAUACUAAGUGCAGAGAGGUACCAUGUGAAGGCCUGGGCAUAUAACAUGAAACAAGAAAGAUAAGGCCCGUGCUUACAUAGAACUUGGUGAAGAAUCUAGACCAUAACAAGCACACAGAGAAAACGUAUCACAAAUUGUGCUAAAGUUCUGUAAAGGGAUUAAGAUGAAGUGUCACAAGACUGAAUUAGACAGAGUGCCCUUGAAAGAGUGCCAAUUUUUAGAAUGGAGGGUGUAGAUCCAUCCUUUGCAACUGGUGAGGACCUCCUCAGUAAGGCACUGAGCCAGGAGUCUAUACAGCCAUGCCAGCAGGGAGCACUGUCUUUCAUUGUCUGAUGUUUAUUGCAAACCUGUUCUUUUCAGCUUUUUGUUGUUUCAGCCUAGUCCAAAGACGUUUACAUCCUGGAAGAGAACUUGCUGGCUUUUCACCUCAGCAUGUAUGGGCCAAACUAAUAUAACAAGAAGUCUUGAGAGGAGUCAGCGGCCAAGCUCCAUGUCUUGCAGCCAAACAAUGCUGUGGGAUGGAAGGUGGGAUGUCAUGUGUCUGGUUUACAGCACUCACGUAUCAGUUGGCAGUUAACGGAAGUGCUACUGAUUGUAACAGUGGAAGCAAUUUGAAAUGAAAUACAACACUUAAAGCAAAUGAAACGGAAGUGAAUGCCAGCAGUAAAUGGCAAGAAGAAAUCCAGUUCAGUGUGUUCCUCAGAAAUCUUGCCUCUUGGGACUAAAUGCUGCAAAUGUAACUCUUAUCCUUGUUUUUCAAGUUUUACCAUCUCAAAGCUAUCCACUUUAUAUUAAAUUAGUUCUGUUAUAUUAUGUCAAUUUGUAUUCUUAAGAGCACAAGUUUGGCCUCAAAUAGACCUGAGCUGAGAUCCAAUUCUUUAAUUUAUCUGUGUUGUUUUCUUUUUCCUUAGCUUUAAAGUGGAAAAAAUGCUACUUACAUUUUAUUUAUGAAGGUUAAAGAUAAAGUGUCUGAUAUGGGACCUAUCAUAUGUGGUAGGCACUUAGUACAUGGUAGCAAUUAUGAUUAUUAUAUCUGAUAUUAGCAUUAUUAUUAUGAUUUGUUUUAAUCUUCAAAGUAUCAACUGUUUCUAUUACAUUUGUGGUAAAUACUCCUAAACAGAGUUUUUAAGUUCAAGUGUCCAAAGUUGUUAGAAACAAAGAUAUUUGACAAUAACAUAAUCAUAUCACAUGACCUCAUGAUUUAACCACCUCCCAAAGUUGCCACCUCCUAAUAUUAUCACCUUGGGGGUGAGGUUUCAACAUAUGAAUUUUAGAGGAACAUAAACAUUCAGACCAUAGCAAUAAUGAAGAUAAAGAGUUUAUUCAUAGAUAAAUGUUAAGAAGUAGAUACUGUUUGUUAGGAGAAGUGUCCACAGUUAGGGAGAAGUUAGAGGUCUGGUGUCAUCUUUGAUUUUUGUGUUUCUUCCGGAACCCUGUUGCCUGGCUUCCUACACUAUUUCUUGUGUCUUUUUCUUGUAGCUAAACUUGAACAUUUUUUCCUUGAGUACCAUUUUACAAUCAACUGUGCUUUUAUGCAGUGGACUUUCACUGAAUGUCCCCUAUUGGAAAUUUUAACAACAAUUUAACAACUAUUUAUUUGAUACUUUCUGUAUAACCAAUAUUAUUGAACAUCCUAGGAACACAUACAUAAAUAAAACUUGA